rnacentral:ncRNA from 1 species
ACGAUAACGGCAAACUUGUCGAAAGGCAAGGACGCAAAGCUAUAGGGCCUUCAUGACGUGAUGUCAAUGGCAGCCAGCUACCGA